rnacentral:tRNA from 1 species
GCCGGGGUGGCGGAACUGGCAGACGCACUGGACUCAAAAUCCAGCGAUCAUUGCGAUCGUAUCGGUUCGAUUCCGAUCCUCGGCACCA